GGACUACUGGGGUAUCUAAUCCCGUUUGCUCCCCUGGCUUUCGCGUCUCAGCGUCAGUAAGAGCCCAGGACCUCGCUUUCGCCACGGGCGUUCCUUCCGAUCUCAACGCAUUUCACCGCUCCACCGGAAGUUCCAGGUCCCCCUACUCCCCUCCAGACCGGUCGUAUCGGUGCCAAUUCCCCGGUUGAGCCGGGGGAUUUCAACAUCCGACGUGCCGAUCCGCCUACACGCGCUUUAAGCCCAGUGAUUCCGAAUAACGUUUGCACGGUUCGUCUUACCGCGGCGGCUGGCAC
rnacentral:rRNA from 3 species